rnacentral:rRNA from 1 species
UACGUAGGGUGCAAGCGUUAAUCGGAAUUACUGGGCGUAAAGCGUGCGCAGGCGGUUAUGUAAGUCAGGGGUGAAAUCCCCGGGCUUAACCUGGGAACUGCAUUUGUGACUGCAUAGCUAGAGUACGGUAGAGGGGGGUGGAAUUCCGCGUGUAGCAGUGAAAUGCGUAGAUAUGCGGAGGAACACCGAUGGCGAAGGCAAUCCCCUGGACCUGUACUGACGCUCAUGCACGAAAGCGUGGGGAGCAAACAGG